AUGUUCUUCAAAGAGGGGCAGACAGCUGAGGCCGUUGCAAGAGGAGGAGCCCCGCAGCCUUCCCGCUAUGGGACUGAGCGCGCUGACCCCAACCCCGCUCCCACGCCAGCGUCAGCCCCGGGGAUAACAGAGCCUAGGUGCACACACAGACCAAGCGGAGGUGUGGAGGUGCAGCGUGGUGCAAAGCACCAUUGCCAUGAACUAAGAAGUUCCGGGCCAGGAUCCAAGCGAGGGCUGCAGCCUUCCAUCUGCAAACACCAUUUGCUACAGGGGUUUAGCAACCGGGGCUGUCACAACUGCAGCAGCUGCAGAAUCCUUGGCCAUGAGUGGGGGCAGCUCUGCCAUUGCGUCACUGCUUUGUGCAGUGCAGCACAGGGGAUGGAAUGGCCAGCUGCAACGCGAGGCAGCGUGUGUUGAGCAAAGCAGUGCCCGGUUCUGUUUUCAUACAAGUGAGCUUCUCAUGUGUACUUGUUAUUUUCUAACUGUUUGGUAAUGUUCAUUUCAUUUACUGCAUGCAUAAAUGAGCAAAUACGACAUAUACAAAUGUCGGGAAGUAAUUUAGUUUGUUAAGCUUCUUCAUUAAAAGAACUCUGUAUUAUUAAAGUAUCUACAUUGUCAUGGGCUGGUAUCCCAUUAGCAACCGUAAUAAGAAAUGUUGUUUAUCCAUUCAGAACCAGAUCUCUGGGGCAUCCAUUUGGCAGCGUGUGUUGAGUCAGUGGUGGCAACUGGCAGCAUCUCCAUGUGCCCGGUCACAGGACAGUGUUUCCCACUCUGAGCUUAUGACCAGGCCAAAAUCUUUACCUCCAUGUUGUCCCUGGAUAUCUGCUCUCUCCUCUAAUCUUGCUGGCCCUGUCCUGUGUGUGGCAUUGUCUCCCCAGGCCCAGCCCUGUGUUGGCUGCAUGUCAGGGGCUGUAGGGAGUGCAGCUGGCUUCCAGCUCCAUGUGGCUCCACGUGCCUAUGUCAUGUAUCACAGGUCCCAUGGCCCCAUGGCCCCAUAGCCCCAUAUCACCGUUGCAUUUCCUGCCCUGUCUGCCCGCUGCUCCCUUGGCAGGGCUGUACAGGGGCAGCAGUCACUCCAGGGCUCCUUUCAAGCUCCAUUUCUCCCCAGAUUUUCCAGACCAGCUUUAUUUGCAGGACAGAGCUCUGUGACCGGCUACAUUUGAAUGCUGCUUCUCCCAGGCAGAACGCAGCCGCGUCUGGGGCAAAACAAAACCAGCAUUCAUGGGCAGUCAUUUAAAUUCCCAGCAGCUGUUCCAUGCCCGAGCUCCCACUGCUCACAGACACAUGUGUGGGCAGUGCCCUGGGCAGCAGACGAGCAGGUCUCUGGGUGCACCCACUGGCACCCAGAUCCCAGCAGCUUAAACACAAAGCUGGGCAUGGCAUGUGUCUUACUGGGUAUAGACAGUUUCUCCUCUCC
rnacentral:lncRNA from 1 species